UCUAAUACCGGAUACGAGCCUCCUGGGCAUCUGGGAGGUUGGAAAGCUCCGGCGGUGAAGGAUGAGCCCGCGGCCUAUCAGCUUGUUGGUGAGGUAACGGCUCACCAAGGCGACGACGGG
rnacentral:rRNA from 2 species